UGGGGAAUAUUGCACAAUGGGCGCAAGCCUGAUGCAGCAACGCCGCGUGAGGGACGACGGCCUUCGGGUUGUAAACCUCUUUUAGUAGGGAAGAAGCGAAAGUGACGGUACCUGCAGAAAAAGCACCGGCUAACUACGUGCCAGCAGCCGCGGUAAUACGUAGGGUGCAAGCGUUGUCCGGAAUUAUUGGGCGUAAAGAGCUCGUAGGCGGUUUGUCGCGUCUGCUGUGAAAAACCCGAGGCUCAACCUCGGGCCUGCAGUGGGUACGGGCAGACUAGAGUGCGGUAGGGGAGAAUGGAAUUCCUGGUGUAGCGGUGGAAUGCGCAGAUAUCAGGAGGAACACCGAUGGCGAAGGCAGUUCUCUGGGCCGUAACUGACGCUGAGGAGCGAAAGCGUGGGGAGCGAACAGGAUUAGAUACCCUGGUAGUCCACGCCGUAAACGUUGGGCGCUAGAUGUGGGGCACCAUUCCACGGUUUCCGUGUCGCAGCUAACGCAUUAAGCGCCCCGCCUGGGGAGUACGGCCGCAAGGCU
rnacentral:rRNA from 1 species